rnacentral:rRNA from 1 species
UACCAGCACCCUGAGUGGUCGGGACGAUUAUUGGGCCUAAAGCAUCCGUAGCCGGCCUUACAAGUCCUCCGUUAAAUCCAGCUGCUUAACAGAUGGGCUGCGGAGGAUACUAUAAGACUAGGAGGCAGGAGAGGCAAGCGGUACUCAGUGGGUAGGGGUAAAAUCCGUUGAUCCAUUGAAGACCACCAGUGGCGAAGGCGGCUUGCCAGAAUGCGCUCGACGGUGAGGGAUGAAAGCUGGAGGAGCAAACCGG